rnacentral:ncRNA from 1 species
CAAAGGCUUGGUCCUGACUUUACUAUCAGCUUUAACUGAACUUACACAUGCAAGUCUCCGCACUCCUGUGAGGAUGCCCUUAAUCCCCUGCCCGGGGACGAGGAGCCGGCAUCAGGCGCGCCCAGGCAGCCCACGACGCCUUGCUAAGCCACACCCCCAAGGAAACUCAGCAGUGAUAAAUAUUAAGCCAUAAGCGGAAGCUUGACUUAGUUAAGGUUAAGAGGGCCGGUAAAACUCGUGCCAGCCACCGCGGUUAUACGAGAGGCCCUAGUUGAUAACUACCGGCGUAAAGAGUGGUUAUGGAAAGAUAUUUAAUAAAGCCGAACACCCCCUCAGCCGUCAUACGCACCUGGGAGCACGAAGACCUACCGCGAAAGCAGCUUUAAUUACGCCUGACCCCACGACAGCUAAGAAACAAACUGGGAUUAGAUACCCCACUAUGCCUAGCCGUAAACUUUGAUAGAAAUAUACAAUUGAUAUCCGCCAGGGAACUACAAGCGCCAGCUUAAAACCCAAAGGACUUGGCGGUGCCUCAGACCCACCUAGAGGAGCCUGUUCUAGAACCGAUAACCCCCGUUCAACCUCACCACCUCUUGUUUUACCCGCCUAUAUACCACCGUCGUCAGCUUACCCUGUGAAGGCCCCAUAGUAAGCAAAAUGGACAAAACCCAAAACGUCAGGUCGAGGUGUAGCGCAUGGGGUGGGAAGAAAUGGGCUACAUUCUCUAAAUUAGAGUACUACGAACCACGCUGUGAAAUCAGCGUCCGAAGGUGGAUUUAGCAGUAAACAGAAAAUAGAGAGUUCUCUUGAAACUGGCUCUGAGGCGCGCACACACCGCCCGUCACUCUCCCCAAGUUCAACCUGUCCUUCUAACUAAGAAGUUAACCGAACAAAGGGGAGGCAAGUCGUAACAUGGUAAGUGUACCGGAAGGUGCGCUUGGAAUAAC